rnacentral:rRNA from 1 species
AACGAACGCUGGCGGCGUGGCUAAGACAUGCAAGUCGAACGGACUGCUCAAUUUAUUGGACAGUUUGUGGCGUAAGGGUUAGUAACGGGUAGGUAACGUACCCUGUGCUUUGGGAUAGCGUCAGUUGCUUUUAGCAACUUUCCGAAAGGGGCGGUAAUACCAAAUAAUAUCAUUUGUCAAAAGGCGGAUGAUCAAAGAUUUAUCGGCACAGGAGCGGCCUGCCUCCUAUCAGCUUGUUGGUGAGGUAACGGCUCACCAAGGCAGCGACGGGUAGCGGGACUGAGAGGUUGGCCCGCAACAUCGGGACUGAGACACUGCCCGGACCUCCACGGAGGGCUGCAGUAACGAAUAUUGCGCAAUGGGCGAAAGCCUGACGCAGCGACGCCGCGUGUACGAGGAAGUCCUUCGGGAUGUAAAGUACUGUCAGGGGGAAGAAAGUGCGCUCCGGUGCAUUGAUCUAACCCAGAG